CGGAGGUAGCUCUUGCUGCUUUUACCCCCGCUUUUGCUUUGUGUGAUGGGGAGGGACCCCACAUAUGGGGGUGAUUAGUGGCUUUGGGGAUGGUCUGGAGCCCCUAUUUUAUAGAGGAGUCCAAGAGUGUAGGGUCAGGCCGAGGGGCAGAGACAGAUGAGGCGUUGACCAUAGCCGGAGUCCCAGCACUGCCGGCGGCAGAGGUUCCCGGGAGAUCGAGCCACCCGCCCCGCAGGGACGAAUUUAUGGCCGGUCUUGGAGAGAGGAGAGCGAGGCCGGGGCUCCGCUAGGCCCAAGGAAAGUUCCCUUUCUAGGGUCUUUUUAAAAAAAAGAGAGAGGGAGAGCAAGAGAGAAAAGGGAUGGGUUGAGUUUCGUUGAAUUUUCCUUCGUGGGCUCGAGCGGAGUGGAUUUCUAUAAGGGAAGAGAAGACACGUCCCGGAACCUUCCAUGUCCGCCUCAUUCUCUCCAGGCCUCUCCAGUUGUCCGAGCUCUCAGCCACCAGGAGACUGACACGGAAGGGGCUUCUGGGCUGCCCCCCACCAACUCCUGCUUGGCUUCCCAAAGUCCAGUCAUCUCCAACCUUCCUUGGGGGAAAAUAUCAGUGCCCAGACACCUCUGUACCCUGUCGUAUGUGAGGACGCUCACUUCAGGAUUAUCUUACAAAGAAGAAGAAGAAGAAAGGCUGGCUUAGAGUCGUGUUUACAUCUAGUUCUACUGAUCCGUUCACAUCUGGAGAGUUUAUUUAUAACUCCCACUAUAACUCUCUCUCUUUGGAAGCACUGGUGGCUCUAUUGACAGACUGAUGUCUAGAAAAUAUUGCUCUAUCUCUAAGCAUACCUAAAUGUGCUGUGGUUGUAUUUACAGAUUUAUGUUUGAGGGAAAUAUAAUUAUUUCCAUUGUAUUUGUGCAUAUACAAUAGUUACAGGAGCAGAUUUAUAUACGGGAAAAUAUACGACUCUCUUAUAGCCAUCCAGCUUUAUGGACAUUUGAUAUCCUGACAGAUUUAUAUCUCUGAGCAGCUAUAUAGAUAAAUGUAUAUUGUUGGAAUUA